rnacentral:rRNA from 1 species
AUACGAAGGGGGCAAGCGUUAAUCGGAAUUACUGGGCGUAAAGCGCGCGCAGGCGGUCCUUUAAGUCUGAUGUGAAAGCCCACGGCUCAACCGGGGAGGGUCAUUGGAAACUGGAGGACUUAAGGGCAGAAGAGGAAAGUGGAAUUCCAAGUGUAGCGGUGAAAUGCGUAGAGAUUUGGAGGAACACCGGUGGGAAAGGCGACUUUCUGGUCUGUAACGGACGCUGAGGCGGGAAAGCGUGGGGAGCAAAAAGGAUUAGAUACCCGGGUAGUCCACGCCGUAAACGAUGAGUGCUAAGUGUUAGGGGGUUUCCGCCCCUUAGUGCUGCAGCUAACGCAUUAAGCACUCCGCCUGGGGAGUACGGUCGCAAGACUGAAACUCAAAGGAAUUGACGGG